UACGAAGGGGACUAGCGUUGUUCGGAUUUACUGGGCGUAAAGCGCGCGUAGGCGGAUCGCUAAGUCAGGGGUGAAAUCCCAGGGCUCAACCCUGGAACUGCCUUUGAUACUGACGGUCUGGAGAUCGGGAGAGGUUGGUGGAAUUCCGAGUGUAGAGGUGAAAUUCGUAGAUAUUCGGAGGAACACCAGAAGCGAAGGCGGCCAACUGGCCCGAUACUGACGCUGAGGAGCGAAAGCGUGGGGAGCGAACCGG
rnacentral:rRNA from 1 species